rnacentral:tRNA from 1 species
GCACAGCUCAGUGGUAAAACACUUGCCUAUCAUGCACCAGGUCCUGGGUUCAAUCCCCAGCACUGCA